rnacentral:rRNA from 1 species
AUACGAAGGGGGCUAGCGUUGUUCGGAAUCACUGGGCGUAAAGCGCGCGUAGGUGGAUCAAUUAGUUGAGGGUGAAAUCCCGGGGCUCAACCUCGGAACUGCCUUCAAUACUGUUGAUCUUGAGACCGAGAGAGGUGAGUGGAAUUCCUAGUGUAGAGGUGAAAUUCGUAGAUAUUAGGAAGAACACCAGUGGCGAAGGCGGCUCACUGGCUCGGUACUGACGCUGAGGUGCGAAAGCGUGGGGAGCAAACAGUAUUAGAAACCCUUGUAGUCC